rnacentral:lncRNA from 1 species
GCGCUCUGCAUGUAGUCCCUGGCUCAUUCUUGGCCCUGAGGGUCAGAGACUAGUGAAAAGGGGGAAACCAGUCACCAAAGAAAUUCUGUCUGGAGACAGAAGUGGAUUAGAUCCCAACUGCGAAGGACCCUGAUUCUCUGGGCAUUCGUCCAGAGAAGCUUUCUGUUUACAGGCUUGCUUCCCUUUUCUGUCCUCGGCCCCCACCCCCAGCGGUGUCCCAUUUCCCAUCACCUGUCCGGUCUCCCUGAACAGCUUUUAAGUCCUGAACUAGUUCAGCUCCAUAGAGGAGCUUUUGUUAAGCAUUUGUUUGCUUGUAAGAUUUUUUUCCCCCUAUGAGAUUCGCUCAGCCUUCUGACAUUGUCAGGGGCCUCAGUGAUUGGCUUUGAACAACUGUGACCUUCGGCUGCCUGAGGACAUGUAAUGCCAUCCCUGUUGAUCCUAGAUUCAAACUCCAGGAUCCUUUCAGUCAACAGGAGGAAAUACUAGAAAUGGAUAUGGGGUCCUCCCUUCCUGCCUUUGGGGGUGUGUAAACUGAGACCUGUUCUCCCAACUAAGCUGCUUCUAGUCCAUCUUGAUGCCAGUUCCUCUAAACACACUGAUUUCCUGGAGAGGCAGAGUAAACAGGCUGUCUGGGGUAGGAGUCCGAAAACCUGCGUUCAGGCUUCUGGCACUGCUUCCACCACGUGUCCUUUGUCAAAUGCUUCAGUAACUCCCCUUCAGUAAAGAUACAGGGGUUGAAUCAAGGUGCACACAGAUUUUAGUAGCCUGAAAGAAGAAACCAAAAUUGCCAAGGUUAAAUUUGAAACAAUUGGCCAUAGAGAUAAAUGCUGGGAAAGAGCUGGCAUUGCUGUUCCUAUAAAAAAGAGUUCCGUUGCCCAUGGAUAUGAAACAAGAGUGAGCAGUGGACGCUGGUUAGCUCAUAGCCACAGGCCCAUUGAUAGAAGCUCAGCUUUCAGUCUAAGGGAGGUUAGAGUCCUGCUGUGCUCUCCUUGAGAUGACUAUGGCAUCUCCUGCCUCCAGUCAUGUCUGCCUCCAGUCCUCUCUCCAACUUGCAAUCAGAGUGAUUAUUCUUAAAAAUCUAAAUUUGGUUGUGUUGGUCUCCUACUUACCAGCCCUCAAUAGCUCCCUAAUGCCGUCAGAAUGGUCUCCUGCAUCAUCCUUCAUGAUCUGGCCCCUGGUGACCUCUCGAACCUACCUCUGGUCCUCUGCACCCCUGACUCUAGUAGUUCCAAACCAUAGGCUGUUCCCAAACCUGGUCUUUCUCUCUCUUCCUUCUAAAAUGCAGUUUGUUUCUUUCUUUCUUUCUUUCUUUUAAGAUUUUAUUUAUUUAUUCAUGAGAGACACACAGAGAGAGGCAGAGACGUAGGCAGAGGGAGAAGCAGCCUCCUCAUGGAGAACCCAAUGUGGGACUCGAUCCCAGAACUUUGGGAUCAUGCCCUGAACAGAGGCAGAUGAUCAACCACUGAGCCACCCAGGCAUCCCUAAAAUGCAGUUUCUAACACACACACACACACACACACACAAUCAGGGACAUGCACACACAUAGGCAUAUGCAUACAUGCACAUAUGUGUGUCCUGCCACCUGUCAGCUUCUCCAACCUCUUUGUUUUCAGAGCCCUCCCCACCCGUGCUGAUCCUACCAAAGCACUUCCCACACCAUACUGCAACCACUUGAGGAUACUGCACCCUCCCAUUCCAAGACAGUCCCUGGAGGCAGGUAUUACACUUUGCCUGUGCACACUCAACAUGGACUAUCUUUCUAGUAGGCACUCAGUAAAUAUUUAUAGGAUCAGUGGAAGGCUAGGCCAAAGAGUGCAUUCAGAGAAGAAUGACAAGGGCUGUGGAAAUAAGGUUGACUGGCUGGAGAAGAGAGCAUCAGGGGUGGCAUGAUAAUUCACCUUUCUGUCAAGGGCUCUCAUGGACAAGUGGGACAUAGUUUACCCUAGUCUGUCCAGAGGGGAGAAUUAGAUCUGGUGAGAGGGACACCGACAUGGUGUAGCUUUGAGAACGCUAUGGCAGGCUACGUUUGGAUGCCUUUGCAGAGAAGGGAGAGAUCCCUGGUGAUCUAGAGAGCACCCUGGCCCAGAAGGGCCUCAGCACCAUCUCAGGAGUAUGGCUAGAAGGAUCCUUGUGUUAGGUGAGGUGUUCAUCCGGAUAAUAUGGAAGGUCCUUCAGACCAUGGAUACGAAGAUCAGCAGGUCCCGAUGGUUCUGAAAGCCUGUGAUAGUCUCAUCAAGGCCACAGCACCACACAAUUUAUAAAACUGAGCAGACAUUCUAAUUUCUGAUUCUAAUUUCUCUUCCUUAGCACCUUCAGAGCAGUCUGCGUAUCCCAAAUCCACCCACAAUGCCUGGUCCACUCAGCUGUUCCCUCGGGAAAAGAAAUAGGCAGCCAGGGAAGUCAUAACUUGUCCCAGUUUUUGCAGGUAAUAGUCAGAAGCAGGAUCCUAAGGAAACUGAACUCUUGGGUUCCAGUCAUUAAAGCAGGUAGCUUUCCCAGGGGCCUGCUGAUGUUUCAUGUUUCUUACCAUUUUGCCUCUAGUCCACAUCUAAAGUGCAAGAACACAACCAUGCACAGUGGCCGUGGGGAUGACCCUGGGACUAGAUUGCGUGACCUCAGACAAGUCACUUCCUCUUUCUGUGACUAACUCAGUUUCUUUAUGUAUAAAAUGGACAUAAUAGCAGAAUUAACCUUGUAAGGAUAAGAUGGAAAUAGUACAGAGAUAUAUGAAGUGCUCAAUAAACACUGCCUGGUGUUGUUCAUACUGGGUGAGGGCAGGCCUUGGGAACACAGAGUCCAGGGCUAAAGGGGUAUGUGGCGCCUCCAGCUGUUCUCCAGACAGCUUCAGAAGUUCCUCAGAGCUUCCACCGAGAGCCAGGCCUAGGGGUAAGGGGCAGGAGAGGACAACCACUGACGCAGAAGAACCAAAUGGGGGUGUGUGCACCCAGAGGGUACCGACAUCCUGCCCUCAGUGGUCCUGAAACAACGACCCGUUAACUCUCUAGAAAGCUGAGGGCAGGGUGGGGUGGGGUGGGGUUGCCCCCACAGCCUCAUCCCCUCCCUCCCUCCGUCCGCACUAAUUCCCCACUUAUGGAUGGUCUUCCCACCAAGUGGAAGUUGGAUACAUUGAUGAUAAGCUUUUGAAAAGCAGUUUCUUUUCCUCUGAAGACAGGCUUCUUUUUCUGAAGACAGGUUUCUUGUUCUCAAAUUCCUGCCCUCCGACGUGCUUACAGGGAGGUUGCAAGGUCACAGGCCAUCAUCCGUAUGAACGUCCACCCACCCAUGCCCAUCAUGGACACGGACACAGUUAGAGAAGGGUGACACAGUGGCAACAGAAAUACAUUUGACUCUGAUCUUCCUCCUCAGGAAGUCAACAGAAUUCCAAGACUAUGGAAGACACAGCCCAGCUUUUGCCUGACAGACUCCAGGAGCCUGACGCAAGUUUUAGCAACCGUUGGAGUUUUCCAGAGGCUGGAGUCAGUCCCACUCCAGUCUACCUCCUGGUGGCCUGCGUCAGCCACCACUGGCUCCAUUGCUGCAGCCACACCUCCUUUCUAGUAGUUCCCACCUGUGACCAAGGUCACAGCUUUUCUGUUAGUACCUCAAGGGGCUAUUGCUAUUUCAAUUCAGAAUCUUCUUUGUCAAGGACUUGGAUCGAUUCCCAGUGGAGCCGAAGCCAAGGGACAGUUGACACCCCCACCCCCACCCCCAGUAUCUUGCUCAAAGGCUUUUGUAGUUCCUUUCUCAUAAGCCUGGAGAGUAUAAUUCAUCACUGUUUCAGGAUGAGGUUCAGCCUCCACCAGGGCUCUCCCCAGGGAAAGGAUGGGAGGCACACUGCCUCUGCCCUCUUUUUUGGUGUUGGAGUUUUAUCUGGCAUCCUGCAGCUCAGCUGCAUUCCCAACACUCCCUCAAAUAACUCUCCUGGUGGUCCUCGAGGUGGGCAGGGCUCCUGAAGGAGACUCUGCUGACAGCAACCUUCUACCCACGGAUGUGGAAGUGCUUCAGCCUUCCUGCACCAAGGGAUUUCUCCAAAUUCUCCAAAGAAUUUCUCUAAUUCUUCUUCUCCAAAGAAUUAGAACUUUCCUUUCCUUUUUUUUUUUAAAUAAACAUUUUAUUUAUUUAUUCAUGAGAGACACACAGAGAGAGGCAGAGACACAGGCGGAGGGAGAAGCAGGCUCCCCACGGGGAGCCUGAUGCAGAACUUGAUCCCAGGACCUGGGAUCAGGACCUGAGUCAAAGGCAGAUGCUCAACCACUGAGCCACCCGGGUACCCUUAGAAUUUUCCUUUCCUAAUUCACAAAGCAGAAGAAACAAUGUUAAUUUGGCCCAUUCUAGCUCCAAGCAGUGUUAAACUCCAACAAUAAUUGUUUAUAUUUAGAAAGAAAGAAGAAAGAAAGAAAG